rnacentral:lncRNA from 1 species
ACCUUUUAGAAUGUAUAAUCUUCCUUUAAAAUAGAGUAGGUUAUUCUUAAUUUUGAACUUGGAAGUAUCAUGAGACUUAAAAGAAUUAUUCUUAAUAUCAUGGAUAAGAAGAUAAAAAGAUAUACUUGAUUAAGUUUUCUUAACAAAGAUUGAAUCAAUAGUUAAUGGAAUAAUCAACAUAUGGGAGAAGAUGAUAAAUU